ACUGUGGCUCUAACUUUGACAGCUGUUCCUGUUCCAGCUCCUGUAAAUACUAUAAAGACUGUUGCCAUGACUACUAUGAUUUUUGCCACAUCUUUGCUAUAACACCUGAAGUGAAAACAACAGUGCAUGCUGGUACAGGAGCUCCAUGUGGUGGAAAUCUGACUAAGCCAAGAGGAGAAUUUUUUAGUCCCCAGUAUCCUAAUAACUACCCUAACAAAGCAGAUUGCACAUGGAGAGUUCUGGCGCCAGAGAGACA